rnacentral:lncRNA from 1 species
AGUCGCCAUGUUGGUUGAGAAUAAAGGGAUGGUUUUGGAGGCCUGGGCGGACUUCUUUGAUGAGGGGAAACCGCUUUCGCGGGAUCUGGUGGAUGUAGAUAUAUGGGUUUAUAGUUGGGGAAACUUAAUUGCCAGGAGGCGAGACUGAGAGUGUCACAGGGAUUGGACUUGACCUCAGACAUCUUGACGCUCAAACCAGGAUUCUAGCAUAAAAAUGGUAGCAAGAAGAGAAGAAAAUGGGCAUACUUACGGAGAAUUGAAAAUCAAAAAAAUGAUUAAGAUAAAUUCAAGAAGGCCGGGCGCGGUGGCUCACGCCUGUAAUCCCAGCAGUCUGUGGGGGCAGAGGCGGGUGGAUCACUCGAGGUCCGGAGUUCGAGACCAGCCUGACCAAAAUGGAGAAACCCCCGUCUCUGCUAAAAAAAAAAAAAAAAAAAAAAAAAAAAAAAAAAAAAAAAAAAAAAA